rnacentral:piRNA from 1 species
UUGUUGGAUUGAAGGAUGCCUAGAUAGC